rnacentral:lncRNA from 1 species
GAGAAGGAUAGAGUCAAGCAGCCUCUGCACUGUCAGCGUGAGCCCGAUGUGGGGCUCAAACUCAUAAACCAUGAGAUCGUGACCUGAGCCGAAACAAAGAGUCAGACGUUUAACCAAUCGAGCCACCCAGGCGUCCCAAAAGAAGUGUACUUUAAAUAGUCUCUGGAGUCAGACUGCCUGGGUUCAAAUCCUGAUUCUGCCAUUUACUGGCUCUGGGAUGGUAGGCAGGCUAACAUUUUGUGCUUUAGUUUCCUCGUUGGCAAAAUAAGAAUAAUAAAAAGAGAGCCAGAUACACAGGAAAUGCUCCAUAAACAUUUGCUCCUACCAUUAUUACUACUAUCAUCACUGACUGUUAUUUGGCAGGUGGUGGGUGUUCCCAGAGUGAAGGCUGCAGAGGAGUGAGGUUUGGGGGCAACUGCCUAGGAGGGGUGAGUUCAACUCUACUGGUCCAGUGGGAGCCUGGUGUCUGGAUGGGUGCGGAUGUGGCUGCGACAUGAAUGGUCUUCGUCUUCUUGGGGAGCCGGGAGCUGAAUUACCCUGCCUGGUGCAGAGCACCCAACCUGGUCCCAAGUGGAAACUGCACAUACCCGUGGCGGGAACAGGCCCACAUGCUGUCACUCAUCUCCUGGAUUGGUGCUUCAGACCGUCAGCAUCUAGCAGACAGGAGGCAGGUCAGUUGAACUUUCUUUGACCAGCACUGAAGAACAGCUAGCACAGAGUCCUACAGAGAUGGGGCUCAAACAUUCUCGACUAUGGUUCCGCGGAGUUUAGCCACUUUGAAAUGGGCAAGAAACCCACGAGGGGGGAAAUCCCUCCACGGCGGCAACCCGAGACGAAGCAAACCAGUGGUGCACAGGCGCUCUCCGGGAAUGAGAGGUCACAGGACUACUGGCAUUCAAGCCGGAACUGGAAGUGUUGAGCUCCUAUCUUUCUGCUCUGUCCACCUUCCCACUCUACUUUGACCAGAGGAUCCAAUGGAAAAGACAUCAAAUAAAUGAGCUGGUUGACAGCAGGACUUAACCUGAAAGUGGCUUAAUUUUCAAGAGUCCACACUGCCUCUGAGGCUUGAAAGGCAUCUAAAGGCAGAGGCAGAGCGAAAGGAAAGGAGAGCACAGGGGCCACGUGCAUCAGUACAUGGGGGCCCUCAGAAGAUGCAAGCGUUCGCAAAUCCCAGCUCUGAGACUAUGGUAGAUCUCGAGAGAAAAGCUGCCAAUUCCCCGGGGCGGGGGGAACUACUCUCCCUCCCCAUUGACCACUCACCAGCUAAAACCUAAUGGCAGCUGCCUACCAAGGUUAGCCCUACCUAAAGCCACCCAGGCAACAGGAACCCAAUCCCACCUCAGGAUUCUGGGAGUUGGGACCAGUGGACUUCUGGCCUUGAGCACGACUUGUAUUUUUAAGUGGUCGAGGGAGAGUUCAGGGUCCCUCAGAUUGGGCCACGCGGGGAGUCACUGGGUCUAGAGACUUCCCCGUUCUCCUCAGACGCCCUGUCUUCCUAUAGCGAAGUCUCCAGCAAGGCUGACUGCGAGAGCCACAACACGGGACUGCGUUCUCUGAACCCACUCAACUUUCAUGGACCUUUGGGGCUCUGCACAAGGACACCCACCCUGAGGAACUGCUCUGGCUACAUCAGGUCAGGACUCCAGCGUCCGCCUCUCUCGGGAGCUCAUGUCCUCUGCCCGAUUUAGCUCCCUCUAGUCAGACAUGUCAGUUCGCCUGUCUGGUCUGGGGCGCUUUCCCAGCAUGACGCCCUUGGCUUGUCGCAGCUCUGGCGGUUUGGGCAGAACAUACAGACUUAUCUUUCAGGGGACUCUGAUCUGGACAAUUCAGACUCGCUCAGGAGACUCCGUCCUUCGAAGGUAUGACUCUGAUGUGUUCUUUUUCUGAACAGGAUAUCCCUUUCUGAAGCAUCUGAGCCUUAAAAACACUAACAUUAGAAACAGAGUAAAACUUAAUGAAGGCAGAUAUCAAGGACCCACAGGAUUUCUUCAUUUUCAGUUCGGACUUCUGCUGCCCAGACACAAUCUUUCUGCCAUCUGUGUCAGGUUAGCUACAAAGCCCUGUUAUUAUUCUGGGCUACACAAUGCUGGCCCGACCUCCCCGAAUACAAGAAAUUGUGCUGAUUGAUUUAGUUAUUCUGUUCCUAUAAACGACCCCAGUUGUGCAGAUGUUUCUGAUUCACCAAUGUACUGCUGGAGUUAUAUACAAAUAAUUUUCUAAUGAACUCAGCAACUAGCAGAACAGGAGACGUGGGAUCUAGUCCCACCUCCCAGAAAAACAAGCAAAAGCAACGGUGCAGGGGCUUUUCAGCAAUGUUCCAGGUUUAAAUUCCUAUCUGCUGUGAUUCACUUUUUCCUCUUGAUGUAAUCCGCUAUAACUUAGAACGAAUGCUCUCAAAGAACCUUUGUCUUCAGAUUUCUGGACUCGAAAGGGAAACUCCGUUAGCUCUGUGCGCUCCAAACUCCUUUAAAAUUUCCCAUCUUUUGUAUUUCAUAAAUUUCUGUUUUCAUUAAAACAUUUAUACUUCCGGAGACAAUUUCUUAAAUAAUAUACUUUUACGAGGAGAAAAUUGGGACUGAAGAGUCUACAUUGACUUUAUUAUAAAGAGAAAUCAAGUGUUUUGUUUCAUUUCAAUACAGAACGAUUAGGCUCAGUGGGGUUAGGCUCAAAUUUUUCUCCUCCAGUUCUAGAAGACAAAUCACAUGCACAUUAGAAAAUUAAGGAAAAGACAAGACAUGAAUAAUUCAAAUGAAUGGGAUUUUUUAAAGUAAAGAUAGUGACAAGUGCUCCCUGCAGAAAUCAUUUGAAACAAAACAGGAAAAAGAGAUUAGAAAGCUUAUCCUUCUAAAAUAAAUUAUGCUGGCAAGGAUAUGGGGGAAACAGAUAUUUUCAAGUAGUGUUAGUGGGACCGUGAAUUACUACAACUUUUGGAAAGUAAUACCACUUUGGGGACUCUGACAGACAAAAAUAAAAGCUUCUGUAUGUUAGCUCGUUCGAAUUUACACACAUGGAUGUUCAGAGAAAAACUGUUGCUAUAUAUAGCACAAAACUUGAAACAACCUGAAUGGUUAAAUUGUGGCAUGUGAAGCAGCCAUGAUAUAAAUAAAUGAGUUUUUUAAUUUUUUUUAAAUUUUUUUUAAUGAGUUUUUUGAUUUGGAGAGAAUGUC